CCUCUUUUCCCUCAGCGCCGCAUCGGAACGGCAGCCUUUCCCCGCCCCCUCUGCCCCAAAGAGCUCCCUCAAGGCGGGCUCUGCGCGUUUCCCGGCAACGACGGCGAGAGGACUGCAUUUCCCAGCAUGCCAAGGACUGCUUAUUUGCCUCCCCCCGCCCGCUCCCUCCGCGCCUUUUGCGGUGGAACUUGCUGGAAGGAGGAAGCAGCCGAUGCUGCAAAGCGGCCUUCUCCGCCUUCUUGCCUCUGAGGAGGAAGCCUGUUGGCCCGACUAAAUCCAGCAGAAAAAGAGCUCAAAUAAAGACUGAAAGAGGUGAGAUGCUGAGAGAUCCAGAGCUCCUGGGCAAAGCAAAGCAGAAACAUGGAGAAGACCAAGGAAAGGUUGUUCAUGGAAGAGCUACUGCAAAAUGGUGGCAAUUACACUCUUUCUAGAUAAAUGGAUCAAUCUGAGGUUUAACUGAGUCUUGAAGAGUACUUUUUAAAAUGGCACUUGAACUGGCUGUUGCUCGCAAGAAAAUGAUCUCUUCUAGAUACCAAUGUCAACAAUGAUACCGUGUUUUCCCGAAAAUAAGACAUCCCCAGAAAGUAAGACUUAGGGGGAGGGAGCCACCGCCACCGAGGAAGGUGCACUGAGGAUGUUAGGAACUGUGGGAGUUGAAGUCCAAAACACCUGGAGGGGCCAAGUCGGUCCAUGCCUGUUUUAGCUGCUAGGCCUCCCUCCGGUCGUGCCAAUUUUUACUUCAGAGCAGAGCCUUGGCCUCAGCAACGGAAAGAAACCACCUGCGGAGGCGAUGGCAUGCCCGCUCGCUCGCUUCAGGAAGCAGGCAUUGCUGCCAGCAGCACCGGUCUAGGCCCCGCCAGGGACGCACGCACCUCAGGACCAUAGAGCGCCCGGGUGGCCCAGGCUAGAGUGCGUAAGCCCGCCUGCGAACCGGCACCAUUUUAAUCAUAGAGCCCUCCCGCCCCUUACCUUUGUUUUCACUCACUCUAGCUCCAGCCUUCGGGGCUGGGGCCUAGGCCAGUGCUGCUGGCAGCAGUGAACUAGAUGUUUAACAUUUGCAUGAAUGCAGCACUAUAACAUGUGAGAAGUCUGAGUUCACACUUUACAUGUGUUUGUUAUUGAGUGCCCUUUAAGUCAUUCCUGACAUGAUAGGAUUUUGUAGGCAAAAUCUGUUCAGAAAUUUUUUGUUUUUGAUGUUAUUUGAGGCUGAGAGACUGUGACUUGCCCAAGGCCGCUCAGUGGGUUUCCAUGGUUCAGUGGGAAUUCAAAAAAUGAUCUCAGGAGUCAUAGUACAAUGCUGAAACCAAUACAUCACACUGGCUCCAUUCAUUAAAUUUGGAUGAAUGCACAAGUCUCAUUCAUGAUUAAGCUUUAAUCAUAAAUGAUACAGGUUUAUUCAUUCAAUGUUUGUUAUUUUGUUAUUCAUUCACAGUAAAAAUGUAUCGAAAAGGUAUACAGGAUUUUAUGUCUACACCAAUUCUUUAGAUAUUCAUGGAAAAACGAGUACCAAAACAUUGCAUUUGUGACCUCAUUGAUUGAACAUCUAAGACCUAAACCAGUUGCAGAAUGAUUUAUAUCCAUGCAAACCAAGAUGAUACUUCAAUUUUGAAUAUCUGUGCCAGGGUAAACAACAUACCUUCUGUGCCUUGGCAAUGGAGAACAUAUCUCAUUAUAUCCAGGUUCUCAUAAACUAUCAGGAUCUCUACAGCUCCCAUUUCUAAGGCCUUUAAAGUGUCUUCAACACCAAAACAGUACUUUCCCGUGUCCUGACUGAUUUCAUCAAAGUAUCGGCCUACAUUCAGUGGAAAUCAGAGAGAAACAAACAAACAUGUGUUUCAACAGAAAUGCUAACUUAACUUAGCCAAGGUGAUACUGUUGUUACAUGAUAGCAAAGCUGACCUAGAUCCAACAUUGCACCAUCACUUUAACAUCAGUGUGACAAUACUUUCUUCAUUUCCCUUCACUGUGGCAGCCCUUGGAAUGUGAGGUUUCCCAACCUCUAACAUGAGGAGUUUUGAAUGUAUAGAGGACUGCAGCAAGGAGAUUUUGCCCUUUUUUUGAUCUGGCCAAUGAAAGUUGCUCCAUUAGCAAAUACCAAACACUCCCCAUGGAUUUCGGUCACUCUUGGUUAGAUUGAAGAAAAUUGAGAUGAAUCACCCUGGGAACUGACUCCCUUGCCCUGGCAGUUUCAGUUAUCAUAUCACACAGUCAGUCAGAGACAAUACUCUUGACCAGUGACCAGAUUAUCUAACUAAAUUCCUGAUGUGCUUGCUCACUGGGAACAAAUCAGGCUCUCUUUUACUGGAAUCUGAUUCAGGCUACCAUGAACAUGCAUUUUAUAAGCAAUAUGAAGCAUAUGGAUUGUGAUUUACACCAGAAAUUUGAGUGACCAAAUCUAAAAUGCAGCCAAAGGACACUAAGAAACAAUAUCCUGUAUGCCUGUAAAAUGGGCAUUUUUCCAAGUUUCAUCACUUCCAAGAAUCUGCCCCAAAAUUACUCAGCUCAUUUGGAUAAAGACCCAAAUGACUAAGUUAUACAACUGUAAUUUCUUUCCUGUUAAACUCAUAUGGUAACCAGACAAAACAGUGAUGACUGUAAUUAUGCUCAAAACAUUCUACAGAACCAACACACGAUUAGCAAAUCAUCCAUGGAAAUUCACCAACAUUUCUAGGUUAAGCAGGCAAUAAAAGUAAUAUUAGCACAAACUCAUGUAGCACCAAGUGGGUGAUUGUCUAGCAGACUAUGCAUAUAUCUAGGCAUAGCCAGCCUUCCACACCCACUGGGGUUAGAAGUGCAGCAUCCUCAUAAAAGUGAAAAAAACGUAAAUAAAAAACCUGCUUUAAUAUGACAAAAGACCUCUUUAAGAAUCCCCAGAUCCUCCAGCAUGACUCUGUGAUCAACUUCAAGUGCAUGCUGACCCCAGUGUUUCACUGGAGAGACCCAGAGAUUCCUAGAGAGAACAUUUGAAUCAAAUGUGCCAAUAAUAAUAUCCACUAAUGUGGAGGGCUGACUUAAUUUCAAAAAACUGCAUAAACAGAAAAGUGGUACCCCACCAACACCAUUAAUAAUAAUAAGACCUAAUAAAUAUCCUAAGACAUGCCUACUUGUAUUUCAGAUAAGGAGUAUGAAAUGAUACAAAUCCAUCUUAUGGGUAAUGUUUUAUUUUGUGAUAUGUGAAAGGAUACUUCCUGCACCUUAGAAACUAUACUUGUACAAAAUAUGGAUGGUGUAUUUAUCAUGCACAAAGAAAGCAAAAAUUGGCUAUUUUAUUCAUACCUAUUAGUUUCUUUUCUUGAAUGAAUUUCACAUUAGAUAGGACCUCAGUGGACAAUUCAAUUGCUUGGUUGAAUCCAUUUUCACCACCAUAGGAGAUGUCAACUAGCUUUAGUACUUUGGAUUGCAACCGCUAUAAAUAAAAACAUGUCUAGUUAGAAGAGCUCUUAUAUAAUCAAAGAUGCAUCCCACUAUUGACUAGAUAAGGUGGACAUGAAGUCAUGAUACAAUUAAUGACAAACAUAUAUAUAGAACCUUUUGAUAAAGGGCAAUGUAAAAAAAUGCUUUAAACGAGUGAACAAAAUAAACUGUUUCUGGAUGACCAAGACACUUGGCAUUUCAAUUUUUAAAAUGUGAAAUCCCACCUUCAAAUAAAUGGGUGUCAUAUAUAAUGUUAUAUAAUGAAUUUCAAACUCUUUUACUAUUCAAACACAAAAUAUAUAAAUUUUUUUCGUGUCAGGAGCGACUUGAGAAACUGCAAGUCGCUUCUGGUGUGAGAGAAUUGGCCGUCUGCAAGAACAUUGCCCAGGGAAUACCCGGAUAUUUUUGGUGUUUUUACCAUCCUUGUGGGAGGUUUCUCUCAUGUCCCCGCAUGGAGCUGGAGCUGAUAGAGGAAGCUCAUCUGUGCUCUCCCCGGGUUGGAUUCAAACCUGGCAGCCUUCAGGUCAGCAACCCAACCUUCAAGUCACAAGGUUUUAACCUACUACGCCACCGAGGGCUCAGCAAUAUAUAAGUAAUAUUUGGUGAAAGACCAGAACCUAAGUGGAUAUCAUCCAAGUGAUGGCCAGGUGUGAGACUUCAAUAUGAGCACAACUCCUUCAACUUCUGAAAUGUGCUUUACAUUGGGCUGCCUCUGUACCAAGUUUGGAAACUCCAAUUAGUUCAAAAUAUGGCAGCCAGACUAGUCACAAGAACACUCAGGAAUGAAUGUAUUACACUCAUAUUAAAGUCACUUCACUGGCUGCUAAUUAGUUUCCAGGCAAAGUACAAAGUGUUGGUUUUCGCCUUUACAACCCUACAUGGUUUGGGUCCAGGUUACCUAAUGAAUCACCUGCUCCCAUAAGUUGUCCUGGGGGACAUCUACUCCAACCAGCCAGAACGCUACUGGCAACUGUCAUCCAAAGGACCUUUACAUCAGCCAUCUCAAGAUUAUGGAAUGACCUGCUGGAAGAGCUCCAACAGCUAAAGGGGCUGUCAGAAUUUAAGACACAACGGAAAACCUAUUUCUUCUGGCAAGCCUACCCAGCCAG